UACGUAGGUGGCAAGCGUUGUCCGGAUUUAUUGGGCGUAAAGCGCGUGCAGGCGGCUAUGUAAGUCUGAUGUUAAAGCCCGAGGCUCAACCUCGGUUCGCAUUGGAAACUGUGUAGCUUGAGUGCAGAAGAGGAAAGCGGUAUUCCACGUGUAGCGGUGAAAUGCGUAGAUAUUGGGAGGAAUACCAGUGGCGAAGGCGGCUCCCUGGACCGGUACUGACGCUGAGGCGCGAAAGCGUGGGUAGCAAACAGG
rnacentral:rRNA from 1 species